UAAUACGUAGGGGGCAAGCGUUGUCCGGAUUUAUUGGGCGUAAAGAGCGUGUAGGCGGUUAGGUAGGUCCGUUGUGAAAACUCGAGGCUCAACCUCGAGACGCCGAUGGAAACCCCCUAACUAGAGUCCGGAAGAGGAGAGUGGAAUUCCUGGUGUAGCGGUGAAAUGCGCAGAUAUCAGGAAGAACACCCGUGGCUAAGGCGGCUCUCUAGUACGGUACUGACGCUGAGACGCGAAAGCGUGGGGAGCGAACAGGAUUAGAUACCCUGGUAGUCCACGCCGUAAACGAUGGGUGCUAGGUGUGGGAGGUGUCGACUCCUUCCGUGCCGAAGCUAACGCAUUAAGCACCCCGCCUGGGGAGUACGGCCGCAAGGCUA
rnacentral:rRNA from 1 species